UCUUAUGGAUAGGCAAAGCAAGUAGUUUCUUCAUACGGAAUCUACUCCUGGUGAAGAUACUGUGAG
rnacentral:pre_miRNA from 1 species